rnacentral:lncRNA from 1 species
AUUCUUCAAGACAUACGUGCCAAAUACGGCCCUAUCAUCACCCUCCGCAUCGGCUCUCGCCCUGCCAUCUUCGUCGCCAGUAACUCCCUCGCCCAUCAAGCUCUUGUCCAAAACGGAGCUGCUUUCGCCGACCGUCCUCCGGCCCUUGCUGUCAGCAAAAUAAUUACCAGUAAUCAGCACAAUAUCAGCUCUGCCUCCUAUGGACCAACUUGGCGGCUUCUCCGCCGUAACCUCACCUCUGAAAUCCUCCACCCUUCGCGUAUCAAAUCCUAUUCCCACGCUCGCAAAUGGGUUCUCGAUAUUCUU